ensembl:lncRNA
CAAACCCCUUCAGAUGAUUCAGAAUGCAGCAGCGCGCCUCGUCUUCAACCAGCCCAAGAGAACCCACAUCACACCCCUCUUCAUCUCCUCCACUGGCUUCCUGUAGACGCCCGCAUCAAAUUCAGGGCCUUGAUGCUCACCUACAAGACCUUGUCUGGAACAACGCCCCCUACCUCAACUCUCUCCUGAAGGCUUACGUUCCCUCACGCAAUCUGCGAUCGAUUAGCGACCGACGUUUAGUAGUGCCUACUCAGCGUGACUCAAGAUCCCUCUCAAGAACAUUCACACUAACUGUUCCUCAGUGGUGGAAUGAACUUCCAACAUCAGUCCGGACCACAGAAUCUCUCACCACCUUCAAAAAACCGCUAAAGACCCGCCUCUUCAAUGAACACCUAACCAACCCAUAAAACCAACCCCUUAUAAAAAAAAUUUUUAAAAACAUAUUCUGGCACUUACACCUCUACUCUGUGCACAUUUCUAGAACUCAAGUGAAAGAUUGUGUACAGUAGCACUACUUGAUAUAUCGCUUUGCUUGUGUUUCCUCAUUUGUAAGUUGCUUUGGAUAAAAGCUUCUGCUAAAUUAAUAAAUGUAAAUGUAUAUAGUGUACCUAUAGAGUACAGUAUAGAGUGGUAUAUAAUGUUGUAUAGUGUAUAGUGUACCUUUACAGUACAGUACAGUGUAGCAUAUAGAGUAAAGUGUACCUAUAGAGUACAGUAUAUAAUGUAGUAUAGUGUAUAGUGUACCUAUAGAGUACAGUAUAUAAUGUAGUAUAGUGUUAUCUGUAGAGUAUAUAAUGUAGUAUAGUGUAUAGUGUAGAGUAUAUAAUGUAGUAUAAUGUAUAGUGUAGAUAUAGUGUAGAGUAUAUAAUGUAGUAUAAUGUAUAGUGUAGAGUAUAGGACAGAUUCUGAUUGCACGCGCACUCCCUUUGUCAGAAAAAAGAAAAACCAAAUCAGCGGCUAGCUGUAGUAAAUCCAGACCAACCUGAUCUCUCUCUGCUGUUCUGGACCCGUCCCUAAGCACCUCGUUCUCCUUGCCCGCCGGAUUCAUGUCUCCUUCCUCGUGCUCGCUUCUCCUCCGGUUCCUGCGCGCGCUUUAAUAAAAAGUCGCGGUGCUCUGAGGAGAUGAUCUUCGAGAAGCCAUAGAUAACUUCUCUCUCUCCGUUUCUAAAUCUUUCUCCCUCCACCCUUACGUUAGAAGCUACAUGCACGAGCGCAUAACCCCACCCGCGCCGCUGCCGCUCGCGCGCGCGCUCACUUUUCCAACGCAAUUCCGUCGCAAAAACUUCCGCC